GGGCCUGUAGCUUAGCCUGGUUAGAGCACCAGUCUUAUAAACUGGUGGUCGAGGGUUCAAAGCCCGUCCCCU
rnacentral:tRNA from 1 species